rnacentral:rRNA from 1 species
GUAAAAACGACGGGCCAGUGAAAUUGUAAUACGACUCACUAUAGGGCGAAUUGAAUUUAGCGGCCGCGAAUUCGCCCUUUAGAGUUUGAUCAUGGCUCAGGAUGAACGCUAGCGGCAGGCUUCAUACAUGCAAGUCGAGGGGCAGCAUAAAUUACUUGUAAUUUGAUGGCGACCGGCGAACGGGUGCGUAACGCGUAUGCAACUUACCUUUUACUAGAGAAUAGCCAAGAGAAAUUUUGAUUAAUGCUCUAUGUUCUUAUUUACUCGCAUGAGUAAAAAAGCAAAGCUCCGGCGGUAAAAGAUGGGCAUGCGUCCUAUUAGCUUGUAGGUGAGGUAAUGGCUCACCUAAGCUCCGAUAGGUAGGGGUCCUGAGAGGGAGAUCCCCCACACUGGUACUGAGACACGGACCAGACUUCUACGGAAGGCAGCAGUAAGGAAUAUUGGACAAUGGAGGCAACUCUGAUCCAGCCAUGCCGCGUGAAGGAAGACGGCCUUAUGGGUUGUAAACUUCUUUUAUACAGGAAGAAACCUUUCCACGUGUGGAAAGUUGACGGUACUGUAAGAAUAAGGAUCGGCUAACUCCGUGCCAGCAGCCGCGGUAAUACGGAGGAUCCAAGCGUUAUCCGGAAUUAUUGGGUUUAAAGGGUCCGCAGGCUGUUUGUUAAGUCAGAGGUGAAAUCCUACCGCUCAACGGUAGAACUGCCUUUGAUACUGGCAAACUUGAGUUAUUGUGAAGUAGUUAGAAUGUGUAGUGUAGCGGUGAAAUGCAUAGAUAUUACACAGAAUACCGAUUGCGAAAGCAGAUUACUAACAAUAUACUGACGCUGAGGGACGAAAGCGUGGGUAGCGAACAGGAUUAGAUACCCUGGUAGUCCACGCCGUAAACGAUGGUCACUAGCUGUUCGACGUACAUUGGUAUGUUGAGGGCUAAGCGAAAGGAUAAGGACCCACCGGGGGAGACGUCCCCGAAGAG